UGCCUGGUCUCCUGCUCGCACACGACAACUCCACCGAACCAGACCCAGGCCCACGUGAUGUGCGCGAUCCCGAGCCCCUCACUCCAAUCCGUGGAGACCAGGAGAAUCCCCUCGACCUUCUCGUCCGAUUCCCGAAAACGAAGCUCGAGUUCGUCCCCAGAAUAGAGCGAACGGACCCCACGGAUCUCCUCUGCCUGAAGCCGCUCCGAUGACGAGUUCACCGCCACCGGAGGGGACCACCCACCCGACCUCGUCCCGAAGAUCACCGUCGCCGCCCGAGCUCUAGCAGCACCGCAUAGCCACUGGAGGACGUGCUCGUCGCCACCAAGGACGCCAUCGAGCUGGUUGUUCCCCUCCGUGUCCAGGAGUAUCUACCCCGGGCACCGGAGCGCCCAUAUGCGUUGCCAUCAUUGUUUCCCGGACUGCCAUCGUGUUCUACUCCAAGUUCGACGCCCAGUUCCCCUAUUCACCGAUUGACACUAGAGCAAGCUCCCGACGCACUCCCGGUCUUGCCGGAGCAUGCGAAGCACAACCUCGUUUCCGUUUGUCACCGCCGCUAAGCUAAGACACCUCGUCGCUUAUGAUGUCACCUAGUUCACCGCCCCACGUGCGCCGCAUCCUCCUGUCAUUUCAUUUUUGCUGGGGACCCGUUGUGGCCGUCGCCAACAUCACAACCGAGAGGCCCGCCGCCCUCUUUUUCGCUUCAGGUGAAACUCGCUGUUGCAUUUAACUGUAGCUGAGCAAUGGGAGUAACUUAACUAGUAACAUCAUACAUUUCAAUACAACAUUACUUAUGUGGCAGCUAAUUAAUAAGGAGAGAGAGGUUUAUGGUAACUUAGGUAGUUACUGUAACAUCACACAUUUCAAGGCAUAAUGAGUCUAUAGCCUAAUAAAUGAACUCUUUCAUGAUACCACUCAUAUGUUACUAUCCACUAUGGAGGUAGUAACAUAGAGUAGUAACAUCGGCAAGUUACUACUCUAUGUUACUCCCCACUAUGAGCAGUCUUAUAUUUGACGGUUAUUGUCAUUUUUCUUAGUGAACCGGUAUCAGCCUAUUAGAGCACACCACAUGGCACUGCCACAACAGACAUAGCAGCAACUCAAUUCGCUGCCAUGGAAGUAUUUUCUUUUCCACAUUUCAAUACAAACUUCAUCUUGUUAUAUCUCGUGAUCCGUAUAUCCAAAUGAAUUGAUUCUUUUUCCGAUGUGUUACUGAUGAUCAUGACUAUCCAGUAGCACCAUAAUUUUCAACUUUUGAAUGUUUCAAAUUUGAGAAAUCCAAAUUUGAUUUCGUUCUUUCAUUUAAUCAUAUUCUGCAUACCAUGUAUCCUAUCCAAUUGAUUCCUUUUGCCCAUGAAACACUUGUAUCGAAUACUUGCUAAAAAUACGUUGAACACUCAUAUUCAAAUACUUUUUGACCCGCUUUGAAUUUAAAUUUAAUUCAAACCUCAUUCCACUAUAACUUGCGUUGUAGUGUUCCUAUUCCAUCAAUUCUUUUCGCAAGUGAAUUCUUGUAUGUCCUAUGCAACCAUUCAGACUAUAUUUAUUUUGCGUUCCAUAUACCCUUGGCAUUUUUCCAUACCCUUCAACCUAUUAUUUUUCUAUAUGCAUGUAGUUCUAUAUCACAUUACUAUAUUAUGCAUGUGUAGGGAUAUUAUGGUAGUAUGCUAUUGCUUUUGAGAUGCAGCUAGUAUGGCCUUAUUGUAGACCAUGGUAAGUAUUCUUGCUAUGCUAUGUAGACGGGGAUUGGUUCGUGUAUUCAUCGAGUUUAUGUGAGGACUAUAUAUAAUAUAACUUGAGUAAAAACAUAAUAUAUAUAAUUCACCUCUGGACGGACAGGGUUGCAUCAUGGUUUCUUGUUCCUUUUCUAAGGACAUGAACCAUGGCUAAGUGCGCCCGAACGGUAUUGCUGGGUGGUUCCAAGAACAUCAUGGUUUAUACCCUCUGAAUACAAGUGGGUGUCGUCCAGACUCAAAAAGAUCAGACGGACUUAGUGACUAGUACUUCCAUGUACAACCACUGUCUAAUAUGGGCUCUGGCUUAGUUGAUCAGUUCUGGAGACCUUACCCAGAUGUGCCAGUAGAUGCAGUUAUGAUAGUUGGGAUGGGCCUCUCGUGGGACUAGGCGACUGCUUCUGAAAUACAAUGUCUCAAUCUUCGGGUUGAGUCCAGUGGGUAAAGUGUGCAAACCUCUACAGAUUGUAUAAACUAAUCAUGAUUAGUCGUUUUCCCAGUUAUGGACAAAUUUGAGCCACUAUGCCAUUACAGUUGUUGGAUGAUCUUGACAGAUGAUACCUUAAUAGAAAAAUUGAGUGGGAAACUUAACAAUUGGGUUAGGUUGAAAUUGGAUUGCCCAAUUCAACCAUGUGUAUUAAUUGUAGCAAGAAAAAUUAAAAUUUGACUAUUAUAUUAUGUAGCUAUCAGGGAAAAAUUAGCUUUCUGCAAAACAACCACUACAUUAUCCUCUUGAUAUACCCUGCAUAUAGAAGUAGGUCUGUUAUAUUAUUUCCCUGUGUGACUUGCCAAUACAUUCAAAGUAUCGACCCUUCGUGGCUGCAACGUUUCAUGUUGCAGAUUUUAUACGAUGAGUGAGUGAUGCGAUGUAGGGUUACGAUGUCUAUACUUGACAUUUGCCUGUGGUGUUGAUGGACUUCAAGAAGAUUUUAUUUGCUUUUCCGUUGUAUUUUGUUUGUAUGCUAGCCUUGAGCUAUGGAGGUAUGUAAUAUUUUUAAUUCUGGAUCUACGAUGUAAUAUUAUGACAUGUGGUUUAUUUUGAUAUUACAUCGUGUACUGUGUGUGCUAGCUAUUGAUCCAGGGACUAGCACAGUGAGCACAUAGACAUCAAACCUUAUCAGGUUCGGGUCGUUACAAUUGGAUAAGGACGAGGUGACGAUGCGCGUCGGAAAUGUUUCCAAGGUCGAUGUGAUCGCCGUCGGCACGCUACCUCUACAUCUACCUUCAGGGUUAAUUUUAGACCUGAAUAAUUGUUACUUGGUGCCAGCGUUGAGCAUGAACAUUA